GAGGUUGUGGCUCCAUGGUAAGAGCACUUGCCUAGGAUGUGUGAGGCACUGGGUUCAAUCCUCAGCACCACA
rnacentral:tRNA from 1 species